rnacentral:rRNA from 1 species
AUGAGACGAUCUUUUGUUUGGUUGCAACAAAUUCUGUCGCUUCUAUUUGUCUCAGAAACCCCCUGCCUCUCUGCUCAUGUUUCUCUCUCUGCCCCCGCCGCCCCAAGAAAAGCAUCUCGGGUGAGGAGGCGGCGAGGGUUUGGGCCUCCUGCUCCGACCUCGGCGGCGCCGACGAGCUCGCGCCCAAGAUUCCUCAUCGGCGCAGGUGGUAAAUUUUGUGCUCAGCCAAGCAAGAAGGCACAAGGUUAUACCAAUACAGUCAUUGUGCAGAAAAAAGGAAGACCAUGUAGUGUGGGGAAUCAUUCAUAUCUGCAAUGGGUACAAAAAGGGUCAUGCAUGGGUGAGCUAGACAAACAACGUGGAUCCCUAUUUCCGUUGAGAAUGUGUGGUGCGGCUCAUGCAGUCAUGCUGCUAGGUGUUCUUUAUUUGCUAUCGGAUCUAAGGAUAAUAGGGGCUCUACCUCACAUAUAA